rnacentral:tRNA from 1 species
AAUAUACCAGAGUAUAGCUAAGAAGUAUAGCAUCUCCCUUACACCGAGAAGUCAUC